rnacentral:rRNA from 1 species
GAUGAACGCUGGCGGCGUGCCUAAUACAUGCGAGUCGAGCGAACAGACGAGGAGCUUGCUCCUCUGACGUUAGCGGCGGACGGGUGAGUAACACGUGGAUAACCUACCUAUAAGACUGGGAUAACUUCGGGAAACCGGAGCUAAUACCGGAUAAUAUAUUGAACCGCAUGGUUCAAUAGUGAAAGACGGUUUUGCUGUCACUUAUAGAUGGAUCCGCGCCGCAUUAGCUAGUUGGUAAGGUAACGGCUUACCAAGGCAACGAUGCGUAGCCGACCUGAGAGGGUGAUCGGCCACACUGGAACUGAGACACGGUCCAGACUCCUACGGGAGGCAGCAGUAGGGAAUCUUCCGCAAUGGGCGAAAGCCUGACGGAGCAACGCCGCGUGAGUGAUGAAGGUCUUCGGAUUGUAAAACUCUGUUAUUAGGGAAGAACAAAUGUGUAAGUAACUAUGCACGUCUUGACGGUACCUAAUCAGAAAGCCACGGCUAACUACGUG